AUCGCUUCUCGGCUUCAAUAGCUAAGAUCAAAGUGUAGUAUCUGUUCUUAUCAGCUUAAUAUCUGAUACGAUUCUCAUUGAGAAUCCAGUAUAUUAAUCUGAUUUUUGAAACUUGACGGAAAUUUGGGGCUUGCUCCAAAUCUGUCUCGAGUUGCCCUGGCAUUGCAGUGCCGUCAGGUGCAGCUCACUAAUA